UACGUAGGGACCGAGCGUUGUCCGGAUUCAUUGGGCGUAAAGAGCUCGUAGGCGGCUGUUCAAGUCGAACGAUGAAAACUCGGAGCUCAACUCCGAGCCUGCGUUCGAUACUGGACGGCUAGAGUCUGGUAGGGGGAUCGUGGAAUUCCUGGUGUAGCGGUGGAAUGCGCAGAUAUCAGGAGGAACACCGGUGGCGAAGGCGGGAUCCUGGGCCAGUACUGACGCUGAGGAGCGAAAGCGUGGGGAGCAAACAGG
rnacentral:rRNA from 1 species